rnacentral:lncRNA from 1 species
CCAAGAAAUUCUAUUGAUUCCGUUCAGCGAAAGGGAAGUUGUCCUUCUAUCACGAGUUUUAUACCCCCCCCCCCGGGGAUCAUCCAGGUCAAUCUGCAUGAGUUUUGCUGUUCAUACAUGAGCCAUAGAAGCAAGCUGCCUGCCUAAAAUAAGGCUUUGUGAAUAAGCAGUUCCAUAAGCUCCAGUUACAAUUCGCUGACCGAGUAGCUACAACUUCAAGAGGGGAAUUCGCGUAAAAGUGGGCUUUUGUUUUUGCUUCCUCGAACGGGUGGAGAAAGAUUUUUAUUACCCUUUAUUCCAGGGGAAGGGAGUUGGUUUAUAACCAGACUCUGAAGUUUUCUACUAGGUAGAGUAUUUCAAAAAAAUAAGCUAGAAUAGAGGGCGUGAUAGUCCAAUUCUACAUAGUUCUGUGAUCCGCCGAACGAAGUGGUUCCAACGAACCGGACCGGGAGAGAGAAAGAAUUCUUUUUUCAAGGCUGCCGGUGGGCUGGGCCCGAGCUCGGUUUGGAAGGAAGCCUCUUUAGAUGAGAAGGAGGAUGCUACCAAGGC